AAGCCCAGAGGAUUCAAGCCGGCUAGAGUGUAGUGAAUGCGCCUGCGCAUCGAACGGCCAGAGUAAGAUUGGGUAGUCUACUGGAAGACAGUAGGCCCUGCCGCAAGGUGGGGAUGUGUGCACCGGGCGGAGGCCGGAACACGCUAUCCGUCUAUGGGCUGCCUAGCCGGUGCACUUUCUCUGUGGUGAACACCACGACCGGUGGAACUGCCAGUCUGUCAUAGUCAAGUCGUAGUGGGCGGGCUUUCGGGUCUGCCUGCUGUGAUCACGGGCGUACUUGGUAAACGGCGUUAGUGCAUCUUUACGGUGUGCCGACGUGUUAUCGGCUACUAGUCGCUUUAUCGGGCCUGCUUAAUGCACGUUAUAGCCGUGUGUUUUGUGGUCUGGUGGACUUUGAUGGUAAUAAUAACUGUGCAGGGCACCGGAGUUUUCGGCCUCAAAUGCAGUCUGCAUGCGUGCUAUGAAUGUGUUUGUGGGUGUCGUCGCGAGCUGGCUGUUGUUGGAUUUGAUUGUCGUGUUGCCUGCGAAAAG
rnacentral:rRNA from 1 species